rnacentral:misc_RNA from 1 species
GAAUCUUCAAGGAUUCGUCGUCUGUGUGAAUCUUUCCGUCCGUAACGAUGAAAAGAAGUUGUUUAAUUCUAUUGAUAGUUUUAUCAGUGAAUCUUAUAUCCCUUUUUCAUUUCAGUAGGGGGGUUUCCCUUCAUUCCAAAAGACAAGCAGAUGAUUACGAAGAAUGUUUCAUUGCGGAUGUCGCUCUCAUUGGGGGGGACUUGCCAACUUCCAAAAAUGGAGGUGGGAUCUCGACCUCAACUAUUCGAGAAUGUAUUGUAAAAUGUCAUUCUGAGAGAGAUUGUCAUUAUUGGACAUUUGUGGAAGACUAUCGAGUCAAUUGCUAUUUAAAGACAAAGGAUGGGUCAAAAGACAAGGAUAUUGAAGGUGCUAUUACGGGUUGGAAAAAAGAGGGCUGCUCCUAUCCAUCUGGAUUGACAUCUGAUAAUUUAAAUAGAAUAUUAGGUUAUAAUUCAGACCUUACAAAUGAAGGGGAAUUGGAUGAGCCAGAGGGAUGUGCCUUUGAUGAAAUUGCUUUCCUUGGAAAGGACUUAUCGAAAGCAGACGGAGGAGAAGGGAUCAAAGCUAAGUCUUUUGAGGAGUGUGGUGAAAUUUGUCAAGAUAAUAUACUUUGCAAAGCAUGGAAUUUUGUCGAAAAAUGGGCCAUCAAUUGUUAUCUCAAGUCUGCAAUUGGAGAAAAAACAGAUUUAGAGGGCUCAAUCGCUGGAUCGCUCUUUGCGUGUGGAUCCCAAGAGAGUGAGGAAGAAAGGAAAAAACCUAACGAAAAGGUUACGAUUCAAGGAGAUGAGUGUAGAUUUCAUGAAAUCAAUUUCUUGGGAGGAGAUUUGGAUAAGGAAAAUGGUGGAGAAGGUCUUACGACAGGCUCUGCUGAUACUUGUAGUCAAGAAUGUAGGAAAAGACCACAAUGCAAUUUUUGGACUCAUGUUGGAAAAUGGAAAGUUAAUUGUUAUUUGAAAAGUAGAUUGGGCGAAAAAUCUGAAUUUGAAGGAGGAAUAUCUGGAACCUUUGGGUUGAACUGCGAUUCGGAUCUUCAAAGUAAAAUUGACGCAGAAGUGGAGCUCACAGGUUCUAUUGCAGAUGACGGAGGAUGUCGUUUUCAUGGAAUUAACUUUUUAGCGGGAGACUUGCCAAAGGAAAAGGGAGGUCAUGGCUUAGAAUCUUCAAAUGCAGAUCAUUGCAAAGAGCAAUGCUCUUUGAGAAGAGAUUGCCAAUUUUGGACGCAUAUUAAGGAUUGGAAAGUUAAUUGUUAUUUGAAAGAAUCAAAAGGUCCCAAUCAAGAACUUCAUGGAGCAACUUCUGGUUCUAUUUUAAUUCCUUGUGAUGAAAAAGCAAUUGAAGAAGAUCUAUCUUGUCUAGAGGAUGAAAGGGAUAAUGAUCAUGAAUGCCGUUAUGAUGAUACUAAUUUCAAUGGAGCUGACCUUCCAGAAUCUCAUGGAGGUCUUGGAAUUACCACUGGAUCUAAUGAAGAAUGUAGGAAGGAAUGUUUCAAGAGACGUUACUGUAAACAUUGGACUCGAAUAGAUGGUUGGAAAGUUGACUGUUAUUUAAAAACAAGCCACGUCAAAUCUGAGCAUAAAGAAGGAGCUACUUCUGGGUCGGUAGGCUUGCCUUGCAAUAUUACUGCCACUCUAAUUCAAAAUGAUCCCAAAUGGACGACGCCUAACCCUGUUACAACAUCAAAACCAAAGGCAAGUGAUAGUAGGAACAUUUGUGUCUAUGAGGGUAUCAAUUAUCAAGGGGGAGAUCUUAGAGAACCAGAAGAAGUAGUGAAUGGUCUACCUACAUCUGAUCAUAAUGAAUGUGCAGAAGAAUGCGCUAAAAUAAGUACAUGUAAUUAUUGGACCUUCAUUGGUGCCUGGAAAGUCAACUGUUAUUUGAAAUCAGACUUUGCCGAAGAAAGUGAAAAAGAAAGUGCAAUAUCCGGUUCCGUUGGAUUGGAUUGUGAUAAAUCCAAGUCAAAACCAAAAAGUGAUCCAGAAGGAGAAGCCCCAUCUCAACUAUCCUCAUUUGGUAGAGGCAGAGUACCUCGAAAUCCUAGCUCAGAUCCCUCUGGAGUUUGUUUCUUCAAAGGAAUUCGUUUACAUGGAGGGGAUUUACCAGAAAGCCAAGGAGGCCAUGGUGUUGAAGCAGAAGAACCAGGAAACUGUGCUGUCGCAUGUUAUAAGACAAAAGGUUGCAAAUACUGGGUAUUUAUUGAGGGAUGGAAGUUUAGCUGUUAUCUAAAAGAUAGUUUUGAAAAGGAAGAGUCUCAGAAAGAUGUGACUUCCGGAUCCAUUGGAUAUACUUGUCAAUAAGUAAACAAAAGUUUCUCAAAAAUAUUCAUUCUUAUUUUUUUUAGACCUAGUUUCAAUUAUUUUCAAAUAAAAAGUAGUAUAUCAGAAAGACCAGAAUUAAUAUUUAUUUAAGUAAUCUAAAAAAAGUACAUGUAUAUGUAUAAUUAUCGCAAAUUAGCAUACAUUUAACAAGUCUUGCUUAUCACAACGUUACUUUUAUUGUGUCACGCAAUCUUUCCUCCGAAAAGAAACGGAAAAAAGGCCCAAAAUCAUUUUGUAGUUAGCCAAUUCUUCUCACUAUAGAAUUAUAUUUCAAUAAAUUUUGGAAUUGUUCGCAGCUUUACAACAGAGCAUGUUCACGUGACGAAAUAGUGAACUAUUGGCUGUCAAAAUGGACCAACAUAUAAAAGGACUUAAGCCUUAUUAUCUAUCAAUAACCCAUCUCUCUAUUGUCUAGUUUUAUUGUAUAUCCGAUCCUAAAGUGUAUUAAAAAUAUGUUACUACAUCUUAUUUCAAAAUUGUUGGUAAAAAUUAACUAUUAAAAUGGAAGUAAUAAAAUAUUUUUCUCUAAA